UACGACUACAUAUCAGGCAUAUCAAUAAGCGGAGGAAAAGAAACUAACAAGGAUUCCCUUAGUAACGGCGAGUGAAGCGGGAAGAGCUCAAAUUUGAAAUCUUCAAGGUUUUACCUUGACGAAUUGUAGUUUAAAGAAGUGUUUUCUGUUGAAGUUUUGGUAAAAGUUCUUUGGAAUAGGACAUCAUAGAGGGUGAGAAUCCCGUAUUUGACCAUUAUUUUCAGCUGUGUGAUACACUUUCAAAGAGUCGGAUUGUUUGGGAAUGCAGUCCAAAAUGGGUGGUAAAUUUCAUCUAAAGCUAAAUAUUGGCGAGAGACCGAUAGCGAACAAGUACCGUGAGGGAAAGAUGAAAAGAACUUUGAAAAGAGAGUUAAACAGUACGUGAAAUUGUCAAAAGGGAAGCGUUUGACACCAGUGUUGUUUUCUCGAAAAUCAAUUGAAAAAGGCGUGGAUUUUGUGUUGUAUUGACCUUUAAUCAGCUUGCUUCACUCUUUUCAUUGUCUUUUUUUAUGCACUUUUCGUUUAACAAGUCAACAUCAGUUUCUUUUGUUGUAAAAGGGUCAUUGGAAGGUGGCUUUCUCUUCGGAGAAAGUGUUUAUAGCCUUUGAUCUCUGCAAUCGGAGAGACUGAGGUCUGCAGCGUAGAUCCUUCGGGGUUAGAUACAUUUGUGCUAAGCUACAGCUUUUCAUAGACAACUUGUUGACUAUGUUUAGUCAUGUGGCUUACCCGCUGGCGCUAUUUUACCUACGCUUAGGAUGUUGAGCGCAUGUCUCUCUCU
rnacentral:rRNA from 1 species